AGACAAGGAAAAAUUAUGACCUAAAGAACAGAUAAAGGCUUGGAUUUUUGUAAAGAGGUCUGACUGGUCAAGGCAUAGACUCCACAGACCUCUGAAGGUGUCCUCUGGUAUUUGGCACCAAGACGUCAGCUGCAGAGCCUUUAAGUCCUGGCAGGGACCAGGCAAUUGGAGGGAAAACGGAUGGUAUAAAACACUUUUAUAUUUUGCUGUCCACAACAAUUCUAGCAUUUUUCUUUCUUUC